CAAAACAUCCAGCAAAGAGAGAGCACAAAUUCUUCUCCUUAGGUCACUACUAGAAAACGUAGUGCUGGGCAGCAGUGUGAGGAACGGCAACAGGUGCAAGUCAGAGAAAGAAACUGGAAGCAUGGAGAAGCCGAGCAGUUUUGCAGGCUACAGCACAAUUUUACUGAAAGAACUUGACGAAACCAGUUCCUCUGCAUCCAAUACUUAAU